rnacentral:rRNA from 1 species
UACGGGGGGAGCAAGCGUUGUUCGGAUUUACUGGGCGUAAAGGGCGCGUAGGCGGCGCGACAAGUCACUUGUGAAAUCUCCGGGCUUAACCCGGAGCGGCCAAGUGAUACUGUAGUGCUGGAGUGCGGAAGGGGCUACUGGAAUUCUCGGUGUAGCGGUGAAAUGCGUAGAUAUCGAGAGGAACACCUGCGGCGAAGGCGGGUAGCUGGGCCGACACUGACGCUGAGGCGCGAAAGCGUGGGGAGCGAACAGG